GCCAGGCGUGGUGGCGUGCACCUGUAAUCCCAGCUACUUGGGAGGCUGAGGCAGAAGAAUCGCUUGAACCCAGGAGGCGGAGGUUGCAGUGAGCCAAGAUCAUGCCACUGUACUCCAGCCUGGGUGACAGAGUGAGAUUCUGUCUCAA
ensembl:misc_RNA Metazoa_SRP Metazoan signal recognition particle RNA